UCGGCUCUAUGUCGACACACCCAGCAGCUUUCUCCUGUUUCCUCUCUAGCACUAGAUCACUACCAGGCAAAAUCUAUGCCACAAGCCCAAACGUCCACACGGCCGGGUAUGACCUAAGAGUUUUGGGUGGUAUCUACUUAUACUUGCCGACUUGGUCUCCAUGGUAGUGGGGUAUUGUGUUGUAGGAGAUCGUAUAUUCAUGCCGCCUAGUACUCGCCUAUGCCGUUUGCUCGCCGAGCUAUAAAGUAUUUAGGUUCGCUGUGUGUAGCCUGAGCUUUGGGUUGCAUUUAUCGUCUAUACUUGAAUGUGUCAUUCAUGAUACGACGUCUACCUCCGUUGCAGUAUGACUUCAUCAUAUUGGACCCCGACCCACCAUUGCCAUUUGCCAUAGUCAUAUGCGCACUUCAAGCCUCAAUCCUAAUUCCAAGCCGAAAUUCAAAUGAUAUAUUAUCAAUGUCGCAUCUUGAUCCUCAUCUCAUCUUGAUUUUAUAAUCUCACGACUCACAGCAGGCAGUACUAAAUUCUAUUUCCACCCUUGGCCACCCGCCCCAAAUGUCAAAUUUAAAGUUUAAAGCUUCUCAUUGUCACUUUUAUUAUUUAUGUUCAAUUGUAUUUAUAUUUUACAUAUUCAAUUCUUUGUAAUGCUGAUACAAUCACAAUGUCCCUUUUAUGUUUGUAAUUCUAUAAUUAUUCUCUCUUAA